CUGGAUGGAUGCUAGUGUGGUUCAUGGAGACAGAGAACAUUUAAAGGGUCAGCUUUGGUGAGAGGUCUCCCAAGCAGGUCUGCGUUUGGACAUGCGAACUUUGAAAUGGAGCAGCUGAGGCAUAAAGUACAGAGGGGAGGUCUGAAGAGUAGUUUCUCAAGCUGUGAGUUCUGCCCUGAUCUUCUGGACACUCAGGUUCCAUUCAUUUGCUAGAGUGACUCACCUAUCUCAGGAAACCAGCUUACUCACUGGAUUACUGGUUUACUACAAAGGAGAAUAAGGGAUACGAAUCAACAAACAGAUGAAGCGCUGCAUAGGGUGAGGUCUUGUACAAAGGAACUUCUGUCCUCAUGGAGUUUGGGGCCUGGCACAGUGGCACUUGGAAGUGUUCUGCUUCACCAACCUGGAAGCUCUCUGAGACUCAUCCUCUUGGGUGUUUAUGGAGGCUUCAUUGCUCAGCCAUGACUGAUUAAAUCCUGGCUAGAGAAUUUUACCCAGGACCAAGAAGUAAUGCAGACAAGCUUCUCAGAGCCAGUGCUACUGUGACAAAGUCCAUGCACUGGCUUUCCUGGAUACUCGCUGGAGAAUUCCACAGACCAUCACUUGGAACCUGUACUUCACUUGAGAUGAUUCUAAGCCUAGCUGGUUGGUUUCUCUCAAUAGAUUAAAUCCAAACAAGAGAAGGAAGUAAAAAACUACCAUCAGCAGGAAAACAACAGCAGGAGAGGAAGCAGAAAACUAAAAAGCUGGCACAAAGACAUUACUUAGUAGAAGGACAAACAGCUCCUCACCCUGUAAGACAUACCUGUAUUGUAACACUGGGCAAUAAAUAAGGUUGAUCCUUGUGGCUCCAAGUUACACAGAAAAAGGUAAAUAAGUAUAUUGUAUCCAAGAAGUAUAUG